AACAAUAUGAACAGCACUCCUCGUGGGCAGUGGUGGACCUACUACCUGGUCCACCAAGGCACCCCUCUGGUUCUUAAGGAGGUGUCCGCGGGCGUGGAGGGUGCUGGGACAGCUGCGCACAUUCAUCGGACAACAACGUGUUUGGCAACUCCUGCUUUUCUGUGCUGACGCCCGGAGCUCUGAUCACUGAGCACUACGGUCCAACAAACGUCAGGCUGCGCUGCCACCUGGGAACCUUUCAGGACGUUGACGACGAAGCUGAGGAGGACUCCGCCUGCGGGGGGUGGAGGGAUGUACAUCUGGUACUCUCCUACAGGAACAGCCCACGCAUCCGUCACCGUGACGUUGUACGCCGCCAAAUCCUGCAGUUGCUCGGGUCUGGUUUGUGUAUCGGAUGUUUCGACCUUGGAUGUCAGGAAUAGGGAACCCCUCUCUGGCCAGUUGGAUGGUCGGC